rnacentral:lncRNA from 1 species
UGGGUCUAACUCUAGGUGCAUCAUAGAUUGAACCAUCUCAUAGUCAAUCUUAAUAUGCCUUUGCUCUUCAAAAAUCUUGGUAGUCAAACAUUCAUCUCUAUGAAGUUUACCAUGAAUGCUUGAUCUUUAUUUGAAAAUAGAAUGAAAUAAUUUCUAUCUAUUCUCAAAUAUUUUUUUUUCAAUUAUUUUACAUCAACAUGCA